CCAAAAGAGCGAGAAAUCGCUUUCUACUGCCUGUUAGGUGGCCCUCCUGGGCUGCUGACCUGGUCAACCCUUUGUGAACCAAAAAAGCCUUUCGCUUCGGCAGCUGGGCCUGACCGCCUGUCAGCCUGCCGCUAGCACCAACCUCAAAACCUGUUGUCAAACAUUGUCUGAUAACCAAAAUUUUCGAAUGAAAAUCA
rnacentral:misc_RNA from 1 species